rnacentral:rRNA from 1 species
CUUCGAAGAGUCGAGUUGUUUGGGAAUGCAGCUCAAAACGGGUNGUAAAUUCCAUCUAAAGCUAAAUACAGGCGAGAGACCGAUAGCGAACAAGUACCGUGAGGGAAAGAUGAAAAGAACUUUGGAAAGAGAGUUAAACAGUACGUGAAAUUGCUGAUAGGGAAACGCUUGAAGUCAGUCGUCUCGGCGAGGACUCAGCCUGGCUUUUGUCGGGUGCACUUCCUCCGUCGAGGGGUCAGCGUCGGUUUCGGGCGCCGGAGAAGGGUGGAGGGAAUGUGGCNCCUCCGGGUGUGUUAUAGCCCCCCGCCGGACACGGCGCCUGGGACCGAGGNNCNCNGCGCGUUUCGGCGCGUCUAGGAUGCUGGCAUAAUGGCUUUAAACGACC